CGAGUAAGCUAAACGAUCGCUGCUACUGAAAAGUAGGAGAGGAAAGUCCGAGCUCCUUAGAGCAGGGUGCUGGGUAACACCCAGUGGAGGUAACUCCAAGGAAAGUGCAACAGAAAUAGACCGCCAUGGAAACAUGGUAAGGAUGGAAAGGCGAGGUAAGAGCUCACCAGCGCACUGGCGACUUUGCGGCUAUGUAAACCCCAUCUGGAGCAAGAUCAAAUAGGAAGACACAUGGGGCUGCUCGUCCUGUCUUCGGGUAAGAUCGCUUGAGCCUAUUGGUAACAAUGGGCCUAGAUAGAUGAUCGUUUUAAAAUACAGAACUCGGCUUACGACUUGCUCGUACC
rnacentral:RNase_P_RNA from 2 species